UACGUAGGGUGCAAGCGUUGUCCGGAAUUAUUGGGCGUAAAGAGCUCGUAGGCGGUCUGUCGCGUCUGCUGUGAAAACUCAGGGCUUAACCCUGAGCUUGCAGUGGGUACGGGCAGACUAGAGUGCGGUAGGGGAGACUGGAAUUCCUGGUGUAGCGGUGAAAUGCGCAGAUAUCAGGAGGAACACCGGUGGCGAAGGCGGGUCUCUGGGCCGAUACUGACGCUGAGGCGCGAAAGCGUGGGGAGCAAACAGG
rnacentral:rRNA from 1 species